CAUGACAACAUGUCAUACGAGUUGGCGGUUUGAAGACAGACGAUGCCGUUUUGUAACAUUCUUUAUGGACAAAUACUCCAUGUGAAGAAGUUUCAAAGACAAUUUAUGUGAAUGACUAUAAGAAAUCGGUAGCUAGAUAUUUAUGCUCCUUAAACAAAUCACAUUGCGGGAAAUCCAUGACACAAGGCCCGCCUGCGCCUGUGUCUAUUUUCACAAUCACACGUUGGAACGGUUAUUUCAUAUCAUCAGAGUGCUUUGGAGUGGAUGAGGAAUACUACAUGUGUUUUCCCAGAUCACUCGGUCAGUUGUAUUGGAUAUACGAACCGGAUAUGGGCACAUAUCAUUAACAUUUGGGAUGAGCAACAUGCUUGUGGAAAAAUGCUAUGGCCAGUAUGGGUGGCGGUGCAGGUGUUGUACUUCAGGAAAAGGGGAAGCGUAUUUGUUGGAAGAUGGAUAAAGAAAAAUUGGAGCAUGCACUAGACUUCUUUAAAUCCUGCUUUUUUAUCAGGUAACAUCAUUGAGUACAAAAGAAAUGUACCUUCACAGCAGACAACUUAUAACCUUUCGACACAAAAAUUGGGACUGCCUGCCAUUCAACCAUUGUACAUAUAUGAAUUUACCAGUCCUGUUGUGAAGAAACUUAUUUCAUCAUCUUUCAAGGGCCAUGUUAUUUAGGAUUUUAACUACUUGUCCUGCAUCACAAGCUUAAAAAGACUUCACAAUCUGGCUGCAGAUGGAACUGCAUGGUUUGAAAUCCUCAUAGGAAUUCUGAGAAGCAUGGAGGCCUAUUAACCAGAUAAUGAGAUUGUUAUGAGAUUGAUCACUGUUCGUUAUCUUCACCUUGGAUAAUGACAAGAUUUCAUAGCUUGAGGAGUACCAGGAAAAUUUACUUGCAGCAAAAUUGUACAUAAAGAGAGACUCACUCAAGCAUGAAUGUAGAAUAAUUAUAAAGAUACAGUAGAGAGAGAGAAAGAGAGAGAGAGAGAGAAUUAUAUGGUGAUAUAAUUAAACUCAUUGUCUUCAAUGGGUAUGUCAUGUCAGUAGAGAAUCAUGAUUCAUAUGGUGAUAUUUUUCAAUUAUAUACUCGUUUCAGUGCAAUAGCAUUGUACAAAUAAAUAUUUUAAGUGUUGUUAGGGAAAGUGGUUGCUAUGGUGAUAUGUGUAAACAUAUUGUCUUCCAUGGGUCCGACAUGUCAGUAAAUAAUUACAUGUUGAUAUAUUUGUAUUAUAUUCUCAUUUGAAGGCAAUUGGAAUUGUACAGUUUGAAAUGUUUGCUUGUUUCUAGGGAAAAUUGGUUGCUAUGGUGAUAUAGUUAAACCCGAUGUCUUAAUUGGAUUCAACAUAUCAGUAGAAAAUCAUAUAUUGGUAUAUUUGCAUUAGGUUCUCAUUCCAGUGCAAUUUAAUCAUACAACUUUAAAUUUUAUGUGCGUUGCUAAGGAAAAUCAGUUGCUAUGGUGAUAUGGUUGAAGUCUGAUUUCUCUAAUUGGUCUGAAAUGUCAAUAAAUUAAAGUGAACCCAGAUGAUUUGUAUUUAUUUUCAGUUAAUGGAAUCAUUUUAAUGCAUAUAUUGCAGAUAUUCUUGUUUUAUCGUGUUGGAAAUGGGCCUGAAAGAGUUGCCUAGCAACCGUUACUAUGUGCAUUUCCGACUCUUUUGAUUUUUAUUUUGAGUACACUUAGUAUUGAUUGUUUAGAAAAUAUGUAUCAAAAUUUGGCACUUUUCGGAUAACUAAAGUAAUAUGUAUUUAAAAUACCUUAAAAUUGUCGAAUUUACAGAAAAUUGAUAAAUAUUAAAACAAUGCCUAUUCCUAAGUCCUCUACAGAUACCAUAUAAUAGUAUUUCAUUAGUAUUGUACAUUUUUAUAUUGAAGUAACCUUUACCUCGCCUAAAUAAAUUAUCAUUAUGUUUGAAAAA